GUUGAAAAUUAUAUUGAAGAUGAGUCAUUAUUGAGAUUUUUAAAAACCUAUUUCAAGUGAAUAAAAGACACAUAAUAGAUCAUCAAGAAUAGUAUGAUCUUCUUUGUAGAAAAUAUAUGGGUAGAAAAACAUCUGGAAGGGUAAGUCCACCAAAGUUUCCACCAAGGGAUUGACUAACUCUGAGUCAAAGGAAAAUGGGUAAUUUCCCCUUCUUUUUACUUGUCUGCAUCUUUAAAUUAUCUUCAAUGAAUAUACAGUAAACUUGCUAUAAGUAAAUUUUUUAAAAAGGUUAUUCUUGUUUUUAAAAGAUGGGGAUGCUGUUUUGUUUUAGUGACAUAUGCUUGUAUCCAAAUUGACCGUUACCCUACCUAUCUCCCAAAUUAGGUUAACUUCUUUCAUGUGGAAGACAUGAAUUAUAGAGAUAAAGUGAAUCUUGGUGAAGUUAAAGUGAUCCUGUUUCCCCAAGUUAACAUACAAGUGACUCCUAAUCAACCCCGAUGAACAGAAUGUCCUCUCUGCGGUUAAUUUGGAUGGUCCAAUCUGAAGGUGACCCGUCAGUUGUUCGUCUCCCCUUGCUCUGAACUACUGCCCAGAUGCUGCUGUGUCUCAGAGGCCUCCUUCUGUGAGUCCCCAUUGGCUCAUCGGUCCACCCCACUCUCACACUCUCUAUAACUGCUCCAGGAAGGCAGUGCUGGCAGCCCUAAUUCUGGCGUUCCCUCAUUGGGACCACUGUAAUUCCUAGGGACUCCUCCUGGUUUUGUCCACUGCUUUUGUCAGUACUACUGGCUCUCACUGCUGCUACCGCUACUCUCUUUCCCAAAGAUGACAGGGCCCUCUCUUCCCCCUUUCUGUCUUUGGCAGAAAGGAGAAAAAGCCCACACUCCCCCCAAGGCUCCUACUCACACCUGGAUCUCACCAGCGACCUCCCAACUUCUUAGCCCAGGAGCUGAGAAAAGAAGGGCUCUGAGUCAAAACUUCCUGUUCCCAUACCGAGCUAUACCAGAGUGGGUGGGAGUGGGGAACGUCUAAACCCUAGGGUUUUCAGAGACCAAAGCAUUCCUCACUUCGACUAAUUCACAGUCAACUCAGUGGGAGAGCUUGCCUUUCUAUUCCAAAUUGUGACAUAAAGUUCCAGUCACUCAGGGCACUUGCAAAUGCUCUGAAGUCAGUAGCUCUCACCACGUGUGUGCAGUUGAGGACUGAGGGAUUAGGAGUUUUCAAAAUGCCUUCACAUACACCUUCACAUGCAAUUAUUACAAGUUCUGUGAGGUCAGGUAUUCCCAUUUGAGAGCGAAGUUCCUGGGGUCAGCAUGGAAGGGGCGGGAAUUGGACUGCUCUAAAGAGGCAGCUGGAGUAGAAGGCAGAUGGUAGCCUUCUCCAGGACUAGGGAGUGAGAAAGGGCAAACCUCAGUGAAUCUCUCAACUUGCAAGGCCAUCUCUCACACUGGCCCAUUCCACAGCCAGCACAGCUCAAAGGCCUUCUCACACACCCCAAGAGACCCUC
rnacentral:lncRNA from 1 species